rnacentral:rRNA from 1 species
UACGAAGGGGGCUAGCGUUGUUCGGAUUUACUGGGCGUAAAGCGCACGUAGGCGGAUCGAUCAGUCAGGGGUGAAAUCCCAGGGCUCAACCCUGGAACUGCCUUUGAUACUGUCGAUCUGGAGUAUGGAAGAGGUGAGUGGAAUUCCGAGUGUAGAGGUGAAAUUCGUAGAUAUUCGGAGGAACACCAGUGGCGAAGGCGGCUCACUGGUCCAUUACUGACGCUGAGGUGCGAAAAGCGUGGGGAGCAAACAGGAGUUA